rnacentral:rRNA from 1 species
AGUGAACGCUGGCGGUAGGCCUAACACAUGCAAGUCGAACGGCAGCACAGUAAGAGCUUGCUCUUACGGGUGGCGAGUGGCGGACGAGUGAGGAAUACAUCGGAAUCUACUUUUUCGUGGGGGAUAACGUAGGGAAACUUACGCUAAUACCGCAUACGACCUACGAGUGAAAGCAGGGGAUCUUCGGACCUUGCGCGAUUGUAUGAGCCGAUGUCGGAUUAGCUAGUUGGCGGGGUAAAGGCCCACCAAGGCGACGAUCCGUAGCUGGUCUGAGAGGAUGAUCAGCCACACUGGAACUGAGACACGGUCCAGAGUCCUACGGGCGGCAGCAGUGGGGAAUAUUGGACAAUGGGCGAAAGACUGAUCCAGCCAUACCGCGUGGGUGAAGAAGGCCUUCGGGUUGUAAAGCCCUUUUGUUGGGAAAGAAAAGCAGCAGGUUAAUACCCCGAUGUUCUGACGGUACCAAAAGAAUAAGCACCGGCUAACUUCGUG